rnacentral:rRNA from 1 species
UACGAAGGGGGCUAGCGUUGUUCGGAAUUACUGGGCGUAAAGGGCGCGUAGGCGGCCUCGUCCGUCCGGCGUGAAAUGCCUGGGCUCAACCUAGGAAUUGCGCUCGAUACAGCGAGGCUAGAGUGUGGGAGAGGUUGGUGGAAUUCCCAGUGUAGAGGUGAAAUUCGUAGAUAUUGGGAAGAACACCGGUGGCGAAGGCGGCCAACUGGACCACAACUGUCGCUGAGGCGCGAAAGCGUGGGGAGCAAACAGG